UGGAAGUAAAAGUCGUAACAAGGUCUCCGUUGGUGAACCAGCGGAGGGAUCAUUACAGAGUUGCAAAACUCCCUAAACCAUCGUGAACGUUACCCAAACCGUUGCUUCGGCGGGCGGCGCCCUCGCGCGCCCCUGGGCCCCACCGCGGGCGCCCGCCGGAGGUACCCAAACUCUUGAUACUUUAUGGCCACUCUGAGUCUUCUGUACUGAAUAAGUCAAAACUUUCAACAACGGAUCUCUUGGUUCUGGCAUCGAUGAAGAACGCAGCGAAAUGCGAUAAGUAAUGUGAAUUGCAGAAUUCAGUGAAUCAUCGAAUCUUUGAACGCACAUUGCGCCCGCCAGUAUCCUGGCGGGCAUGCCUGUUCGAGCGUCAUUUCAACCAUCAAGCCCCCGGCUUGUGUUGGGGACCUGCGGCUGCACGCAGGCCCUGAAAACCAGUGGCGGGCUCGCUAGUCACACCGAGCGUAGUAGCAUACAUCUCGCUCAGGGCGUGCUGCGGGUUCCGGCCGUUAAACGAACCCUCGCGUUCAUACCCAAGGUUGACCUCGGAUCAGGUAGGAAGACCCGCUGAACCUAAGCAUAUCAAUAAAGCGGAGGA
rnacentral:misc_RNA from 1 species